GUCUGGUCCCGUCGUCGCUGCGUGGAGGGGUUCCUUCUCGCUAACCUCUUCGCCCGGAAGUGGCAACAAUACUGCUACAUCCCCUUACGCCUAGUCUGUAAAGAACUUUGUUUAACCCGGAGGCGGGGCCAGCCAGCUCCGCCCCUCCAGCUGGACGCGGGAGCGAGGUUGAGGUUCGUACCCGUGGGUUCUCUCCAGGCCUGAGGCGGAGAGCCAGCCGCCUGCCUACCUCUGGGCUUUGAACCCCGGGUCUGGUGACUUCGCUGAAAGACCUCGGGCCGAAGGCCCGCCAGGCUCAACCUCGGUUCACAGGACCCCCGACUUGUGUGAGUCGUACACCGCUCUUUACCGUCUCUGGACCUAGGUCAUCUCGGCAGUAAAAUGGGGUGAAAUGACCCGACCUCCCCGGAGGAUGCCGCGCACGAUGUGUGCCUCAAGUUGGCUUCCACUGACCUGAACUGUUAAGAAAGCCCUCCUCAGUGACGCCUUCCCUGAAUCCACAGUGGAGAUUGCCGUUUUCCUGGAACUAAUUCACCCACACUUACCCAUUUCAUCCCUUUCCACCUUUUAUUUCUACCUUUCUGCCCCACUGAUCUCUAGAAUAGGUGCUGGGAGACGUUAGAGUAUUUGAUCUCCCACUCCCCAGUCAUCCCACUUACCGAGCAGUAAUUCUCUGCCUGGCUGCACAUUGGAAUCACUUGGGAAGCCUCUAAAAAUACUGAUGCCAGGGCUCUACCCCAAGCCAGUUAAAAUCUCCAGCGCUGGACCUGGGCAUUGAUACUUUUUGUAAAGCUUUCAGUUUACCAAGAUGAUGCCAGUAUAGCUAGUGAGAUGCAGCACGCCAUCUUCAGCCCCCUCGCCUCUGGAAGAGACACCAGACUGCAAAGGGCACCGCGUACAGAAGCUAACGGAACUUGAAUGACAAGACAAAAAGAGCAGAACCAGUUAGUGUGACACAACAUUCUAACAUGCCUGAUUCUUUUUUUUUUUUUUUUUUUUGAGACGGAGUCUUGCUCUUUCGCCCAGGCUGGAGUGCAGUGGCCCGAUCUCAGCUCACUGCAAGCUCCGCCUCCUGGGUUCACGCCAUUCUCCUGCCGCAGCCUCCCGAGUAGCUGGGACUACAGGCGCCCGCCACCACGCCCGGCUAAUUUUUUCUAUUUUUAGUAGAAACGGGGUUUCACCGUGUUAGCUAGGAUGGUCUCGAUCUCCUGACCUCGUGAUCCGCCCGCCUCGGCCUCCCAAAGUGCUGGGAUUACAGGCGUGAGCCACCGCGCCCGGCCACAUGCCUGAUUCUUACAUCAAAUAUGGUAACUUGGGGGUUGGUGGGGGGAGACAAGGAGAAUCCACUUGGGAACAAUUUGAUGAAGUUUGCAAACCAGCACUUUACCCCCAAAUUAACAACAGCUUGUAUGGAAAAAAAAAUGCUCUUUUAAAAGUAUAUGGUUUGGACAGGUA